rnacentral:rRNA from 1 species
ACUCCUACGGGAGGGCACAGUGGGAAUGAUUGCACAAUGGGCGCAAGCCUGAUGCAGCCAUGCCGCGUGUGUGAAGAAGGGCCUUCGGGUUGAUAAGCACUUUUCAGUUCGUGAGGAAGGUAGUGUAGUUAAUAGCUGCAUUAUUUGACGUUAGCGACAGAAGAAGCACCGGCUAACUCCGUGCCAGCAGCCGCGGUAAUACGGAGGGUGCGAGCGUUAAUCGGAAUUACUGGGCGUAAAGCGCAUGCAGGUGGUUUGUUAAGUCAGAUGUGAAAGCCCGGGGCUCAACCUCGGAAUUGCAUUUGAAACUGGCAGACUAGAGUACUGUAGAGGGGGGUAGAAUUUCAGGUGUAGCGGUGAAAUGCGUAGAGAUCUGAAGGAAUACCGGUGGCGAAGGCGGCCCCCUGGACAGAUACUGACACUCAGAUGCGAAAGCGUGGGAGCAAACAGGAUUAGAUACCCUGGUAGGCUCU